UGUGUAGGCGGUUUUCUAAGUUCGGUGUGAAAUCUCCCGGCUUAACUGGGAGGGUGCGCCGAAAACUGGGAGGCUUGAGUAUGGGAGAGGAAGGCGGAAUUCCUGGUGUAGCGGUGAAAUGCGUAGAUAUCAGGAGGAACACCUGCGGUGUAGACAGCUUUCUGGACCAUCACUGACGCUGAGACACGAAAGCGUGGGUAGCAAACAGGAUUAGAUACCCUGGUAGUCCACGCCCUAAACGAUGCAUACUUGGUGUGAGCCGUUCAUUCGGUUCGUGCCGGAGCUAACGCGUUAAGUAUGCCGCCUGGGGAGUACGGUCGCAAGGCUGAA
rnacentral:rRNA from 1 species